UACGUAGGGUGCAAGCGUUAAUCGGAAUUACUGGGCGUAAAGCGUGCGCAGGCGGUGAUGUAAGACAGUUGUGAAAUCCCCGGGCUCAACCUGGGAACUGCAUCUGAAACUGCCUUGCUAGAGUAUGGGAGAGGGAAGUGGAAUUUCCGGUGUAGCGGUGAAAUGCGUAGAUAUCUGGAGGAAUACCGGUGGCGAAGGCGGCAUCCUGGACCGACAUUGACGCUGAGGAGCGAAAGCCAGGGGAGCAAACGGG
rnacentral:rRNA from 1 species